GUUGAAAUGGACAACUGCAGCAUUCCUAAUCUCUUCCAUGCUUAUGCUUGGGUUAUACCCAAGUCCAAGAACAUGCCAAGAUUUGUCCAAUGGCUUAGUGGUUGAAUAAAAUGUGAUCAGACCAGGUGGCAGUGUCCCCAAUUUCCACAGCGUCCGGUUCUCAUUCAAAUUCUGCCAAUAAUGGUACUGCUCAGUACACUUCUCCUUCCUCCACGCAUCCAAAUCGAAAAAAUUCAUCCCAUAAGCCCACCCGCACGCCUUCGGAUUAAAUCUCUCCUUAAUUAGCGGGUGUGAAAAAUU
rnacentral:misc_RNA from 1 species